rnacentral:misc_RNA from 1 species
CUCAACUAUCCCAUGCUUCACCAUUAUUUCGGGCAUGCUUUGUUCUUUAUUUCUUAAAAGACAUUAAAUUUGCUGAUAAAGGUUAUAUCCUUUCAUUUACACAUUGAAUUGUGAUUGCUUUCUUUAAUUUUUGUAUAGUUUACCUGUUUGGCUCCAUUUAUUUUGUAGAAAUUGUUUCCAACAAAUCAUUUUCCAUAUUUUCUAGUGUUUUGACACUAAGGAAAAUUGAUUAACAGAAUCUUUUCAUAGCUAAAUGAAAACCGACCAUUUUCAAGAAAAAUAAUUUAAGCUUUUGAAAUGGGAAGUAAUUUUCGAGAUUUUCACAAACUUGUAAAAAUAGG